AUUGGCUUAUUUUUCUUCUGCUUAGCACGUUUUAAAAAGUGUGAGAAACGUUAUGCAGCGACGUAUAUGACUAAGAACUUUUUGUCUCAGGCAAACAAACCAAAAUGCUAAAGUGCUGUUUCCUUUUUCACCUGUUCAAGUAUUUACUUGAACAACCACUUACGGGGGCGUUUUUUUGCUUCGCACUCUUUAAACUUUUUGUCUUAUCCGUGCAAUUUUCAUGAUGGAGCAAGAUUUCAUGGACAAUUUUAUUUGCGUGAUAGCCGCGUAUAACUUAUUGGAUCACAACUUGUGGAGCAUUUUACACCUGUAUUGUACUUCCGCAAUAUUAAGAAAUCGAUAAAUUUU